UGGCAUCUGAGCCCGUGACCCGUAAACCCGCCCGAAACCCGCACUGUAAAAGCCCGCACGAACCCGUCCAUUUAUUAAAUUCGUGCUAAAAAAGCCCGCACGCAAAAAACCCGUAAAUUAACGGGCCUUGCGUGCAAAACCCACUGGAACCCAUGGAACCCGUUUACAAAACCUACUUCGAGUCUUCGACCUUUCCGUCAUUCACCAGAAGUCCAGAACGCAACUCUCUCUCUCUCGAACUCAACCCAAUCUGAGCACAGCAACCUCCCAUUCAUUUCCGUCACCCAAUCUGAGCACGCUUUCUGGUUAAGCAGAGCCUUUAGCACAGAAUCAAAAGUUCCUUGGUAUAAUGGAAACUCAGAGGAGAACUUUUGGGUUGUGCUAUUCCUUGUUAGUGGGGGUUUUCUUGGUAUUCUUCUCUGGCAUUGGUUCUUCUGCAGUUUCCAAUGAGAUCAAUCUGUCAAAUCGCUCUUGAUGUUUUAUAGUUUCUGUUAAACAAAGGAACUUGUAUAAAAAUUUUGUAGUUAUGCUCAACAAGAUGUGUUUAUAUGUUUGGUGAGCACUUGAUCAACUUUGGUAUUUCCGAGAUAGCCAUAGUUAGCCUUUUCAAUUAACACAGUGUAUGACAAUAUCUUUCUUAAUCGAGACAUAAACAGAGACGAUAAUCGAAAGGGGUUUGUAGAGACAUAUAUUAGGAAUAUUAAUUGAUAUUGUUAAUGUUACUUUCACAAAAUUUCUUUAAGAUUUUGUAAAAUUUUCUGUAUCUUUUUCUGACAUAUAACACUCAUCACACCACUGAAUUUCAAUGAUAUGUACAAUGUACUAGAUUGAUGAGUGAACUGAGCUAGGUAAUGCAAUGCUCAGUAUCUCAUGCUAGGAAUAAAAUCUUUAAACUUGUUUUGAUCUAUAAAU